GAUCCUGGCUCAGGAUGAACGCUAGCUACAGGCUUAACACAUGCAAGUCGAGGGGCAGCAUUGGGGUAGCAAUACUCAGAUGGCGACCGGCGCACGGGUGAGUAACACGUAUCCGACCUGCCGCUUACUCGGGGAUAGCCUUUCGAAAGAAAGAUUAAUACCCGAUGGUAUAAAGAGUUCGCAUGUUCUCUUUAUUAAAAGAAUUUCGGUAAGCGAUGGGGAUGCGUUCCAUUAGAUAGUUGGCGGGGUAACGGCCCACCAAGUCUACGAUGGAUAGGGGUUCUGAGAGGAAGGUCCCCCACAUUGGAACUGAGACACGGUCCAAACUCCUACGGGAGGCAGCAGUGAGGAAUAUUGGUCAAUGGACGAGAGUCUGAACCAGCCAAAAGUAGCGUGAAGGAUGACUGCCCUAGUGGGUUGUAAACUUCUUUUAUAAGGGAAUAAAGUGAGGGACGUGUCCCUUUUUGUAUGUACCUUAUGAAUAAGGAUCGGCUAACUCCGUGCCAGCCGCCGC
rnacentral:rRNA from 1 species